CCCUUUAUAUUUCAAGUAGCUUCCUGAUCCUUUCUAUACCAAUAACCUAAUUCAAAUGAAUAAAUUUUACCUUGAGAAAGUGAAGUAGCAGAGGUGAAGUGCGAACCACGGCGAAACGCAAUGACCAAAAUAAAUUGCCCAAAACUGAAAAAGAAAUUACACAGAUUCAAUUAACAAAAUGAUGGUUAAUAUAAAGAAAUAAAAAUUAGAACUUUGAAGAUUCACAACUCAGAUUCAACACAAUACAGAAAUUCAAUGUAUAACACAAGAAUGAAUAAGAAAAAAGGACAACAGAAUCACACGAGCUUGAAGAAGAAUUGAGAAGACUCUAAGGAACCACAUGCAGAAGCAGGUUGGGUCGUUUCUUCCAAAAACACCCUCACGAAGUAAUGGCGUUGUGGCUGACAAAGAAGAAAGUUUCGUGAGAGUAGAACAAACCAAAGUUGUCUCAGAUUAACCAAACAGAGUCGAAGAACGAAGCAAGCUGUCUUAGGUUCAUGUUGAGGGUGACAUUGAAAUUGGGGAUUUUAGGGUGAGAUUCAUGUUGACGGUUGAAAUUGAGGGUGAGAUUGAAAUUGGGGGUGAGAUUGGGAGGGUUAGGUUUCAGAUAGAGAGUGAGAUUGAAAUGGAGGUUUUAGGGUUUUGAAAAGUGGGAACCGUGGGAAUGAAAUUGAGAAAGCGGGAGAGAUGAAAAUAUUUUGGGUGAAAAGCGCAAUUGAC
rnacentral:lncRNA from 1 species